GGAGAGAGAAAACGCGAAGAAAAAUCAGUCGGGUGAGCAUCUCCGACACGGCAACAACUGCAGCGCACUCUCUGUCACCAUCUGCCUCCUUCACCGUGUUGCCACUUUCCAGUUCGCAACCAUAGUUAUUGUCGUAUGCUGAUGGGUGUUGUAUCGUUGAUGGCUGAGUCGACCACUGGUGUACUGAUGUCUCCAGGGUAUGGCGGAUACCAAACCGUAACGCCGCUGCCUUACUAUGCAACAACCAGUUGCUACACCACCAAGGCUUCAGAGUGUUACACCACAACUUCUGAUGCCCCGAGCUGCUACACCUCAGCCUCGAAGUAUAAGUGCCGCGAGUUACAUCACCAGAGAGCCGGAGAACUACACCGAGGCUCCCAACUACUAUGUCACUAAGGCAUCGGAAUACUACACGACUACGUAUGCUGCCCCUGCCUACUACACCGAGGUCCCUAAUUACUACAACACCGAAGUGAGGGUCUCCGACACGGCAAGAUCUGCAGUGGCCUAUCAGUCACCAACUGCAUUCCACAUCGUGUAACCAGUUCGCAAUUAUGGUUAACUAUGGUGUCGUAUGCUGUUGGGUGUUGUAUCGUUGAUAGCUGGAUCGACCACUGGUGUACCGAAGUCUCCUGGGUAUGGCGGAUACCAAACCGCAACGCCGCCGCCGCCUUACUACAGAACAACAACUUUCGAAACGACCAGUUACUACACCGAGGUCCCUGAGUACUACACCACCAAGGCACCGGAGUUUUAUACCACAACUUACGAUGCCCCGGGCCACUACACUGACGCCCUAAAGUAUUCCUCUGCCUCGAGUUACUACAGCACCAAGGCAACGGAGUAGGCCUACUACAUGACAACGCACGCUGCCCCAUCCUACUACACCGAGGCUCCCAACUGCUACACCGAGGCUUCCGCUGAUUACUCCACCAAAACGGUCGAAUGCUACACCGAAGCGCCAAAGUACUACUCUGCCCCGAUCUACACAAACACAACUGAGGCGGCCAAGUAUUACGCAGUCCCGACUUGCUACACAAAAGCUGCUCUUUCGUGCUACGUUGAACUGAAAUAC